GUACAUGCUUACAACAUAGCAUUAAUGCACCAAAUCCCAUUAGAACUCUGCAGUUAAGUGUGCUCGGGAUAGAGUAGUACUGGGAUGGGUGACCUUCGAGGAAGUCCUAGUAUUUUAUAUG
rnacentral:rRNA from 1 species